rnacentral:rRNA from 1 species
AUACGGAGGAUGCAAGCGUUAUCCGGAUUUAUUGGGUUUAAAGGGUGCGUAGGCGGUUUGCUAAGCGGGAGGUGAAAUGCCGGCGCUCAACGUCGGAAGUGCCUCCCGAACUGGUGGACUUGAAUGACUCUGCCGUGGGAGGAAUGUGUAGUGUAGCGGUGAAAUGCUUAGAGAUUACACAGAACACCGAUUGCGAAGGCAUCUCACGAAGGGUUGAUUGACGCUGAGGCACGAAAGCGUGGGGAUCAAGCAGGAUUAGAUACCCUGGUAGUCCACGCAGUAAACGAUGAUGGCUAACCGCUGGGCUUAUCAGUUCAGUGGCCAAGCGAAAGCGAUAAGCCAUCCACCUGGGGAGUACGACCGCAAGGUUGAAACUCAAAUGAAUUGGCGGGG